rnacentral:rRNA from 1 species
GGAAUUUCCAGGGAAUUCGUGGGGCGUUUUGACGGUACUGUACGAAUAAUGAUCGGCUAACUCCGUGCCAGCAGCCGCGGUAAUACGGAGGAUCCAAGCGUUAUCCGGAAUCAUUGGGUUUAAAGGGUCCGUAGGCGGUUUUUUAAGUCAGAGGUGAAAUCCUGCAGCUCAACUGUAGCAUUGCCUUUGAUACUGAAAGACUUGAGUUAUUGUGAAGUAGUUAGAAUGUGUAGUGUAGCGGUGAAAUGCAUAGAUAUUACACAGAAUACCGAUUGCGAAGGCAGAUUACUAACAAUAUACUGACGCUGAGGGACGAAAGCGUGGGUAGCGAACAGGAUUAGAUACCCUGGUAGUCCACGCCGUAAACGAUGGAUACUAGCUGUUCGACCAACAUUGGUUGGUUGAGUGGCUAAGCGAAAGUGAUAAGUAUCCCACCUGGGGAGUACGCUCGCGAGAGUGAAACUCAAAGGAAUUUGACGGA